UACGGAGGGGGUUAGCGUUGUUCGGAAUUACUGGGCGUAAAGCGCACGUAGGCGGAUUGGAAAGUUGGGGGUGAAAUCCCAGGGCUCAACCCUGGAACUGCCUCCAAAACUAACAGUCUAGAGUUCGAGAGAGGUGAGUGGAAUUCCAAGUGUAGAGGUGAAAUUCGUAGAUAUUUGGAGGAACACCAGUGGCGAAGGCGGCUCACUGGCUCGAUACUGACGCUGAGGUGCGAAAGCGUGGGGAGCAAACAGGAUUAGAAACCCCAGUAGUCC
rnacentral:rRNA from 1 species